GGGGGACCUUCGGGCCUCUUGCCAUCGGAUGUGCCCAGAUGGGAUUAGCUAGUAGGUGGGGUAACGGCUCACCUAGGCGACGAUCCCUAGCUGGUCUGAGAGGAUGACCAGCCACACUGGAACUGAGACACGGUCCAGACUCCUACGGGAGGCAGCAGUGGGGAAUAUUGCACAAUGGGCGCAAGCCUGAUGCAGCCAUGCCGCGUGUAUGAAGAAGGCCUUCGGGUUGUAAAGUACUUUCAGCGGGGAGGAAGGGAGUAAAGUUAAUACCUUUGCUCAUUGACGUUACCCGCAGAAGAAGCACCGGCUAACUCCGUGCCAGCAGCCGCGGUAAUACGGAGGGUGCAAGCGUUAAUCGGAAUUACUGGGCGUAAAGCGCACGCAGGCCGU
rnacentral:rRNA from 1 species